CCAUCUGCUCUUUCCGCCGCCCACUUCUUCUUCUCCACCUAUUUCUCUCUUUUUUUUCUCUUUGUUGAUUGUUAAAAGUUCUUCUGCUCACCUCUUCUAAUUCUUCGAGAUUCGUUGUUUAACCCCUUCUCCACCAUUUUCAAAAUUCCAAAGGAGUCUUUGCAGAAUAGGUGAAGAAUUUGCUCUCUCAAAGUCGACGUAUGGUGCUGCUCCGGCGAAGAAGCAACGCAGUCGCCGUAAACCACCAAGCCGCCGUCAAUUCCGAAAUUUCCGAAAUUCCGACCGAAAUUUUCAGAAUCGGAAUCGGAAUGACCCGAAAAUUUCGGAAUCGGAAUCGGAAUUGAAUUUUUACUUCCGAAAAAAAUCGGAAUUUUUCCGAAAGGGUGGAUUCCGAUCCGAUCCCUCCGAUCUCCACCCCUA
rnacentral:lncRNA from 1 species